rnacentral:rRNA from 1 species
CCUACGGGGGGCUGCAGUGGGGAAUAUUGGACAAUGGGGGCAACCCUGAUCCAGCCAUGCCGCGUGUGUGAAGAAGGCCCUCGGGUUGUAAAGCACUUUCAGUGAGGAAGAACGCCUGGUGGUUAAUACCCAUCAGGAAAGACAUCACUCACAGAAGAAGCACCGGCUAACUCCGUGCCAGCAGCCGCGGUAAUACGGAGGGUGCGAGCGUUAAUCGGAAUUACUGGGCGUAAAGCGCGCGUAGGUGGCUUGAUAAGCCGGUUGUGAAAGCCCCGGGCUCAACCUGGGAACGGCAUCCGGAACUGUCAAGCUAGAGUGCAGGAGAGGAAGGUAGAAUUCCCGGUGUAGCGGUGAAAUGCGUAGAGAUCGGGAGGAAUACCAGUGGCGAAGGCGGCCAUCUGGACUGACACUGACACUGAGGUGCGAAAGCGUGGGUAGCAAACAGGAUUAGAUACCCUAGUAGUC